GACGAACGCUGGCGGCGUGCCUAAUACAUGCAAGUAGAACGCACAGUUUAUACCGUAGCUUGCUACACCAUAGACUGUGAGUUGCGAACGGGUGAGUAACGCGUAGGUAACCUGCCUGGUAGCGGGGGAUAACUAUUGGAAACGAUAGCUAAUACCGCAUAAUAUUAAUUAUUGCAUGAUAAUUAAUUGAAAGGUGCAAUUGCACCACUACCAGAUGGACCUCCGUUGUAUUAGCUAGUAGGUGAGGUAACGGCUCACCUAGGCGACGAUACAUAGCCGACCUGAGAGGGUGAUCGGCCACACUGGGACUGAGACACGGCCCAGACUCCUACGGGAGGCAGCAGUAGGGAAUCUUCGGCAAUGGACGAAAGUCUGACCGAGCAACGCCGCGUGAGUGAAGAAGGUUUUCGGAUCGUAAAGCUCUGUUGUAAGAGAAGAACGGGUGUGAGAGUGGAAAGUUCACACUGUGACGGUAUCUUACCAGAAAGGGACGGCUAACUACGUG
rnacentral:rRNA from 1 species